GAAUCUGCCUAAAGGACCGGGACAACCACUGGAAACGGUGGCUAAUACCGGAUGUGCUCUACAGUGAAAGGGGAAACUCGCCUUUAGAGGAGCUCGCGUCUGAUUAGCUAGUUGGUAGGGUAAAAGCCUACCAAGGCGACAAUCAGUAGCUGGUCUGAGAGGAUGAUCAGCCACACUGGGACUGAGACACGGCCCAGACUCCUACGGGAGGCAGCAGUGGGGAAUUUUCCGCAAUGGGCGAAAGCCUGACGGAGCAAGACCGUGUGAGGGAGGAAGGCUCUUGGGUCGUAAACCUCUUUUGUCAGGGAAGAACACAAUGACGGUACCUGACGAAUCAGCCUCGGCUAACUCCGUGCCAGCAGCCGCGGUAAUACGGAGGAGGCAAGCGUUAUCCGGAAUUAUUGGGCGUAAAGCGUCCGUAGGUGGCUCGUCAAGUCUGCGGUCAAAGACCGGGGCUCAACCCUGGAAAGGCCGUGGAAACUGGUGAGCUAGAGUGCGGUAGGGGCAGAGGGAAUUCCCGGUGUAGCGGUGAAAUGCGUAGAGAUUGGGAAGAACACCGGUGGCGAAAGCGCUCUGCUGGGCCGCAACUGACACUAAUGGACGAAAGCUAGGGGAGCG
rnacentral:rRNA from 1 species